rnacentral:miRNA from 1 species
GAUUGAGAAAGGAUGAGAGGGGAGGAUAUGAGGGAUGAGUAACAAAAGUGUAAAUAUAAACUUGAAAGUGAAAACAAUUUCAAAUAGAUUUUAGUUUUUAGUUUUGAUUUUCACUUUUAUUACUACUCCCUCUCAUAUUCUCCCCUCAUCUUUCCUCUUAAU